UGGCAGCCGGCACAGCCUGCGCGCCGCCGCUCCCCGCGGCUGAAGCGGCCGGUUCCGAAGCCGGGGCGCCGCGGGAGCCCGGAACGGACUCGGAGGGGCGGGAUGCGCACAGCGUCUCUGGGCAGCCCGUGUCAGCAGCUCACCAGCUUCUAAGGGAGAACUUGGAGCUGUGACCGCGCCGGGUGUUUAUCGCAGCUCGCACCCGUCCUCCUCCCACCACCCGACUCCCGGGAGCCCGGACCCCAUGGCUCGGCCGGACGGUGGCGAGACGUGAGGGUCGGCGGCGCCCCAUCGCCCGGAUCCGCCCCGCCGAUCGGCCUCGGUUCCUUUGUCUUUCCCGCCCUGUUUUUUUUUUCUCGGCUCAACUAUUCUCUUUGGACACCUGAACUCUUACCCAUCAUGAGCAGAGGGUGAGAAAUCUUACUCAAAAUCCACAACGACAAACGAUGCUUCCGUGCUGAUUGCAUUCCAUGCCACAGAACGGCCACAAACUCCGUCAGCCAAGUACUGGCAGAAAAGAAGAGUACCGGUCUAUCUGAGCCAAAGCCUUGCCUGCACCCUCAGAGCCAGCUGACUGAUGCAAAGCUAUGGGCAGCUCCCUGCUACAGGAACGGUCUGGUGAAAUUCAGUAGACAAAGACCAUUUGCAGCCCUGGAUCACAGCAAGUGCCUGAGCCCCUGGACUACUGCCCCUCUCUGAAACCCACGUCUGGCAGAAGGCUCUAGAAGUGAACUGAAACGUUGCGGUGCAGUAAUGCUGUGCUCAAAACUGCUUGUGAUUAAAGAGAGGCAGGAAAUCCUGGUGUCAGUUUGGUACGUCAGCAUUUGAAGUCCUGCUGUCUGUCAUCUCAGAGUUCUGGAACAGAGCUCAGAAACGCAGCUCACAGAUCUUACUGCCUUUCAGGGUACCUGGGGCAUCUGUGGCACGGUGUGAUCUCUGGGAAUUCUGUGGAGCAUUUCAGAUGUGCAUGUCUCUUUAUUAACAGCAGCCAGUUAAUGUAAUUUGUGUUACAUUUAGCUUCGUCAUUUUUGUACUUAUUUGAUGGACAGAAGACCAAUGCUCCUGUUUUUUUUCUUGCAGUCUAUCAGACAGCUCUCAAGCUGCUACUGCAAAUUUUAAUCCUUCCUGUUCUCCAUUCCUUUGCCGUUUCUUUGACCUGUUUUUCCGUUUAGAAAGUUCUCCUUGCCCUGGGUGCUGUGCAGUGCUAUCAGUUUUCUCAGGAGAUGUGCAGAAUCAUUGCUGCAGGUCCCAGAACAAUCCUGCAGUGUGCAUCUGACGGCUCAGUGGAAAUGCCAACCUCACACUGGUGUUCCAUGGGAUUCCUUCAAUUCUGUGUGCCUGACAGCUCCUGUUCCCAGUGCUACAUGUGCACAUGUAGGAAAGUUAAAAAGCAGAAGCGAAAUGAAAAAUUGCCAUUCAGAAAACACCUCUCACCAAGAGCCAAGCCUCAGCUCAGUGGAAUAGCUCCUCGGUUUCCCUGACAUCCAGUGAUUGAAAUGGUUACUGGCAGCGCUCUGCAGAUGCUGAACUGUUUUGCUGGAGAACAAAUGCCUAUUCAGCAAUGUUGAAACCACGUUGUCAGUUGGCUGCCAAAAUCCACGAGCACGCCGUGGUUUCAAGGAUUGCAGCAUGCACUUUGUCAGUGUACUGCUGUUACAACGAACCAAUGGGCUCCAGGCAAUGGCAGCCUCCCUUGUGAAGCUGCCGUCCUCCUGACGAAAACAUCCUCGCCUCCCUUAGAGAGAUGGGUGCCAUCCCUCCCACGCAGACACCGACCCGCAAAUCGGUGCUGCAGGCACAGAACCCGAGCCCCUGCCACCAGCACCAGUCCUGCAGCCGAGGACGGGCAGCACCACCAGUGCCCUCCUGUCACGCCUGUCCCGCAGCACCACCUGGGCCCCCGCACCCUGGACCACCGGCCCCACAGCUCUGCACUCACUUCUGAUGCA